GACGGGUACAGAUUUUCCUGCUUGUGGUUGCACCGGGCCGUACCAGAUCUCAAAUAUCCAAAAAAAAAAAACUGCAGUGUCGCGCGGGGCAGAGAUAAGGGCGAAGCGGCCGCCGGCGGCAGAAAUCUGGCGAGGAGCAGCCGACUGGGUGGCCGCGCGUCUAAUUGGCGGCGGAGGUUGGCAGGAACAGAGGAAACGUUGCCUCCGGCGAGCAGAAUCUAGAAGAUGAACUUCUCGCUGGAUCCAGUGAGCAGCAGGACCAGUCUGUCCUGGGCAUCGUGAAGCUAUUGGUGGGUGUGUUGAGCAGGAAGCUGACGGGCAAGGCGACUCUGCAAUGUCGACUGGAAAAAAAGGAUCCGCAAUCUCCGGGAUGGACAAGAAGAUUGAGGGUAGGGCGAGCACAACCAGAUAGGACACCGUGAGCGUCCAGGAAGAGUGCCCUAGAGAAGUCCACGGGUGUACGAUAGCUCGGAGGAGGAGAAGGACGCGGCGCCGACAAUGUCGACGCUCUUCGCGGCCGGCGACUAUGUCCACGACGACCAAGAGGAGGACACCGUCGUCGCGCAGUUAGCGGCCGUGUUCGAGGCGGAGGCGCGAGCACGCUAGCGUCGGGAGGAGGCCGACGCCGUCCGCCAGGUCCGCAUAUACGAGGCGACGCGCCGGGAGGAACGCGUCCGCCGCGUCAAGCUCAAGAUCGUUGAGCUCGACUCGAAGUAGGAGCUCGACGCGUUCGCUGCCUCGCCUUCCUUCGCCACCACCUCCGCCGCGUAGAGGCCCCUAGGGCCGAAUUUUGGUCAAAAAUAGGUCGCGCGGCAGUAGCUUUUAGUUAAUUUUGGUUCGUAGUUCAAAUUACGUAAAGUUUGGUGCUCAAUUGGAGCAACAACUAUCGUCUAUAUGUGUUCAUCGAUGAAUUCUCCAACGAGAAUUUAAUUUUUUAUUUUCAGUUUCUAUUUAACGGUUUCUGUUUCGCGCGAGUGGCAAAAAUAACCGAACAAACGUUUUCGAAAGACUGAAUUAGAAUUUUUCAAUUCUCACUUUUUCGGUUAGUACUAGAAACGGAAUGCUCUAACGAGGGCAGCCUCUCCUCACAGAACUGGAUCAGUUGUUGUGAACCGAAAAUAUGAAAGAACUGAUGUGCUGCCAAUUUGUCAAAUUUUUAGUCUGGGACAAUGAAAAAUGUAUGCAUGUUCAGAGGCAGAAUAAAAGACAAACCCUAAUCAGAUAUUAUCAGAUAGAAAAGUAGAAAUGUACUCUAGAUGAAACAUUCAGAAGACAUCAUCUAGGCUUAGUUUCAGAGGAGCGGACAAAAAAAUUGGGAGCUCCUUCUUUGUUAAUUCUAGCAACUGGAUUAUAAAAUUAUAUAUAUUUAUGUAUUUGUAGUGAUGUUUAGCAGGAAAUUGUUACUGUUGUUUUACUAAAGCUUCAUGCUCUUACUCUUAGUCGGCAUGGCAUGAGUUUCUCUGUUUUUACACUUUCGGUACUUCUCCAAGCAUCAGCUCUGAAACCAUAAACUCCAUUUAGGAUUUUGUAAUACUUUACUAAUGAUUUCAUGGAGGGGUUGCGCCCACAUCGAGAUGCUGUCCGGGGAUGUGCCCACAAGGCUGGGUCUUUGUGUCCUUCCUCAACCUCGGCAGUGCCGUGACUUGACCUGGAAGUUGUCAAACCGAGCUCUGAUGAUACCAACAACGACUGGAAGCAUCCGGUGACGAGAUGAGCAUGCUUCUCGUGAUGUGUAUGCACAUGUCCUUCGCUGCACUGAACUCGUUCUGCAUAUAUGUGCUUGCAACAAAGGGCAACUAAUAUGUUUCUAUUUGUUAGAGAGCUCUGAAUAAGAUUAUUGUUUCGUCCUCUUACAGAAUUUGCUCUCCUUCCUUUUUGAUGCUUUCAUGAUUAAUAAGGUCUCUUCAUGAUUAUGUUUACAUAUGCGAUGGAUGCGUCAACGAAAAAUUUCAACUGAAGCUCCUGGUCCUCAAAGGUUACUGCUCUUUUUCAUAAGUUCAUUCACAGGACAUUGAUUCUUUCAAGAUAUAAUUGCUUGGAAACUGGGAACUUUGUAGAUCGUUUUUUUUUUCCUUCAAAAUGGAGGGGGUACCCCUGGCCUCUGCAUCGACUUUGUAGAUCGGGAUGUCUUUGGCAUGGCACUGGACACAAAAUAAAAUACAGACAAUCUCUAGGUGUUGAAGAAAUCGCACAAUCAGGUGAAUACUGCUCAAAAGGUCAAAACCAAUGAAAGGUCUUCCUGUUACUCGCAGGAGGAAGUGAGCUCCAGCAAUGGCGGAGCGCGUGUUCCAACAGCGGUGGAGCGCAGGUUCCAGCAGCGGUCGCGAGAGGCGAGCUCCAGUAGCGGCGGCCAGAGGCGAGCUCCAGCAGCAGCGGCGGAGCGAGGGAGGACUCCGGCUCGCCGGCCCGCCGGCAUGAGAGGUUGCCGGCGCCAAGGGUGGGAGGCCGCCCGCUGGGAGGCCCGCUGGCUCGAGGCAGCGAGGAACGCAGGAUUCCGCCGGCGGGAAGCUGCGAGCUCACCGGGAGGCACGCCGGCGCGAGCAUGCGACGAGCGCGGGAGUCCACCGGCGGGAAGAUGCGACCGCGAGCGCGUGGCUGCGAUCCAUCGGGGGCUUUCCAAAAUAAGAAGGGUGUAAAUGAAAAAAUAGUUUUGAACUACACCUCCGAUACCUAAAUCGUGACAAUGAAAAAAUAGUUUUGAACUACACCUCCGAUACCUAAAUCGUGACAGAGGGAGUAGAUUAUUUUGUGACAUUAUACGGCAAUCUCUUUCUAUGAUGGCAAUUUGCAUGUGUAUUAUUUUUACAUGUGCAGAAAAACAUUUGUAUUGUUUCCCGUGGUAACUAAGAAGUUGGGAGGUCCUUC